rnacentral:lncRNA from 1 species
GCUAUUGUUACUUUUAUUAUUUUUUACUUUAGCAUAUUUGGGAAAUAUAUAUUUUUUUACUCUUUCUUGAAUUGAGUUGUUUAAGGGCUUGUAAGUAAGCAUUUCACACUAAGGUCUACACCUGUUGUAUUCGCAAUGUGGGACAAAGUUGGAUUUGAUUUGGGGAAAUUAUUUCUGUGGGAUGAAUGUACAAUCCCUUGUUUUAAAGAACAGUCUCACUCUUCUGCUGUGCAGGUACAUCCUUCAUCCUGAAAGAGGUGGGAGAGCAUCUGGUCGACGUGAUGAAAGAUGGACAGCAUUUGGCCAGCAGUCCCAUCCCUCUCACCAUCACCCAGUUAGAGAUUGCAGACCCCAGAUGGGUCAAGUUCUUUAGACCAGGGCUCGUGACGGGGAGCGCACUUUUGAAAUGUCAGACUUUGUUGUAGAUAGACAAGAUGCAGGUGAGUCACAAAUCUCCCCCUGAAACAAAAACAUAUCACCAUGUGAAUAUUUUCAGAAAUUCGACUAAGACUUUGUGGCUGAACAAUUUAUCAGCCUAUGGGAGACUGACUCUGGCCAUCAAGGGUCCCAGUACUGUCUAGGUCCAGACGGAGGAUGGGUUCUGUGUCGUCUCCUUCUGCCCCACGGAGCCUGGGGCCUACACCCUCUCAGACAAAUUCACGGAGGAACAUGUGCCAGGUCUGGAUGCCCGACACAUUUCUGCCCAUGUGUCCAGUCCCUCUGGGGCCAUAGAAGAAGCAGACAUCACAACAACAGAAGAUGACAUCUACUCUGAGCUUCAUGCCCAGUGAGACGGGUGUCCAUGCACUUAGUGUGAGCUGAUUUCAGUAUCUGGGCUCGAGGCAGGUGCCGGUAACAAUGGAGGGCCCAGGUCAGGCAGAGCUCACCUUUGAGGACAGGGAAGAUGGCUUCUGUGGGAUCUCCUACAUUGCUCAGGAACCAGGUCAUCUGAUGAGGAAGGGUAAUCAAUGGCUGAUUUGCAUCCUCUCUAUGGUCCUCCUUCCAGACUGAUGCCUAUAAGGUUGUCAGUAGCGGGCCAGGCCUGAGUGAAGCCUGUAUGGGAAGGAGAAACAUCUUCAAUGUGGACUGCAGUAAAGCUGGUGAGGCCAUAAAAUCUCCUCCCUCGGUUGACAUACAAGAUUCUACUUGAUUGGUCAAUUCAGAAAGGUGGGUAGGCCGUGUGUAAAAUAUGAAUGACAUUGAACAUAGACUAGAGAAGAUAAGCAUGUCUGAGACAAAAACAAGCUUGCAGCUGUCUGAUAAGAAACAAGGAAGCGUUCAAAUAAUCAUCAAAACAAGAUUUUAUGGUCCGGGAAUAUAUGUGAAAAGAUGCAUCAAACUAUUCAACUAUUGUGAGAAACAAUUUUUAAUAAAUGUAUGAGUAGCAUCUGGAGAAGUAGCCUUAUCUUGGUGAGAGAAUAACACCAGUCUCAUACGAGCCAUCUGUCUUCUCUAUUACCAGCCCCUCCCCUUCUAAAUCAGCCUAUUCCUCUCCUGACUGUGACACUAGAUGUUGCUUUUGUUAGUAAUACGCUGGUUAUUAUAGGUCAUAGUUAAUAAUUACCCAAUUAAUAUAUGUUGUUAGUAUCUAAUCAUGGCAUGCAUGUACAGCCUAGAGAGCCUCAGAGCAUGCACAGACCAGCUGGCUGGUGUGUUUACGGACAUAUUCAAUCAAUCCCUAUCCCAGCCUGCUGUCACCACAUGCUUCAAGAUCGCCACCAUUGUUCCGGGACCCAAGAAGGAAAAAAUAUCUGAACUAAAUGACUACUGCCCCAUAGCACUCACUUCUGUCAUCAUGAAGUGCUUUGAGAGACUAGUCAAGGAUCAUAUCACCUCCACCUUACCGGCCACCAUAGACCCACUUCAGUUUGCAUACCGCCCCAACAGGUCCACAGACGAUGCAAGAAUGCUGUUCAUUGACUGCAGUUCAGCAUUCAACACCAUAGUACCCUCCAAGCUCAUCAUCAAGCUGGAGGCCCUGGGUCUCAACCCCGCCCUGUGCAAUUGGGUCCUGGACUUUCUAAUGGGCUGCAGCUGUCCAGGUGGUGAAUGUAGGAAACAACAUCUCCACUUCGCUGACUAUCAACACUGGGGGGGCCCACAAGGGUGCGUUCUCAGCCUUCUCCUGUACUCCAUGUUCACCCAUGACUGCGUGGCCAUGCAUGCCUCCAACUCAAUCAAGUUUGCAGACGACACAACAGUUGUGGACUUGAUUAACAACAACGACGAGACAGCCUACAAGGAGGUGGUGAGGGCACUCGGAGUGUGGUGUCAGGAAAAUAACCUAACUCAACGUUGCUGCCUACAUUGAGACUCAAUCACUGGACACUUUAAUAAAUAGAUCACUGGACACUUUAAAUAAUGCCACUUUAACAAUGUUUACUUAUCUUACAUUACUCAUGUGUAUAUACUGUAUUUUAUUGCACCUUGCCUAUGCCGAUCGGCCAUCGCUCAUCCAUAUAUACUACUCAAAAAAAUAAAGGGAACACUUAAACAACACAUCCUAGAUCUGAAUGAAAGAAAUAAUCUUAUUAAAUACAUUUUUCUUUACAUAGUUGAAUAUGCUGACAACAAAAAUCACACAAAAAUAAUCAAUGGAAAUCCAAUUUAUCAACCCAUGGAGGUCUGGAUUUGGAGUCACACUCAAAAUUAAAGUGGAAAACCACACUACAGGUUGAUCCAACUUUGAUGUAAUGUCCUUAAAACAAGUCAAAAUGAGGCUCAGUAGUGUGUGUGGCCUCCACGUGCCUGUAUGACCUCCCUACAACGCCUGGGCAUGCUCCUGAUGAGGUGGCGGAUGGUCUCCUGAGGGAUCUCCUCCCAGACCUGGACUAAAGCAUCCGCCAACUCCUGGACAGUCUGUGGUGCAACGUGGCGUUGGCGGAUGGAGCGAGACAUGAUGUCCCAGAUGUGCUCAAUUGGAUUCAGGUCUGGGGAACGGGCGGGCCAUUCCAUAGCAUCAAUGCCUUCCUCUUGCAGAAACUGCUGACACACUCCAGCCACAUGAGGUCUAGCAUUGUCUUGCAUUAGGAGGAACCCAGGGCCAACCGCACCAGCAUAUGGUCUCACAAGGGGUCUGAGGAUCUCAUCUCGGUACCUAAUGGCAGUCAGGCUACCUCUGGUGAGCACAUGGAGGGCUGUGCGGCCCCUCAAAGAAAUGCCACCGCACCCCAUGACUGACCCACCGCCAAACCGGUCAUGCUGGAGGAUGUUGCAGGCAGCAGAACGUUCUCCACAGCGUCUCCAGACUCUGUCACGUCUGUCACGUGCUCAGUGUGAACCUGCUUUCAUCUGUGAAGAGCACAGGGCGCCAGUGGCGAAUUUGCCAAUCUUGGUGUUCUCUGGCAAAUGCCAAACGUCCUGCACGGUGUUGGGCUGUAAGCACAACCCCCACCUGUGGACGUUGUGCCCUCAUACCACCCUCAUGGAGUCUGUUUCUGACCGUUUGAGCAGACACAUGCACAUUUGUGGCCUGCUGGAGGUCAUUUUGCAGUGCUCUGGCAGUGCUUCUCCUGCUCCUCCUUGCACAAAGGCGGAGGUAGCGGUCCUGCUGCUGGGUUGUUGCCCUCCUACGGCCUCCUCCAUGUCUCCUGAUGUACUGGCCUGUCUCCUGGUAGCGCCUCCAUGCUCUGGACACUACGCUGACAGACACAGCAAACCUUCUUGCCACAGCUCGCAUUGAUGUGCCAUCCUGGAUGAGCUGCACUACCUGAGCCACUUGUGUUGGUUGUAGACUUCGUCUCAUUCUACCACUAGAGUGAAAGCACCGCCAGCAUUCAAAAGUGACCAAAACAUCAGCCAGGAAGCAUAGGAACUGAGAAGUGGUCUGUGGUCCCCACCUGCAGAACCACUCCUUUAUUGGGGGUGUCUUGCUAAUUGCUUAUUUCCACCUGUUGUCUAUUCCAUUUGCACAACAGCAUGUGAAAUGUAUUGCCAAUCAGUGUUGCUUCCUAAGUGGACAGUUUGAUUUCACAGAAGUGUGAUUGACUUGGAGUUACAUUGUGUUGUUUAAGUGUUCCCUUUAUUUUUUUGAGCAGUGUAUUUAUAUGUACAGAUUCUCAUUCACCCCUUUAGAUUUGUGUGUAUCAGGUAGUUGUUGGCGGUGUUAGAUUACUAGUUCAAUAUUACUGCAAUGUCUGCACUAGAAGCACAAGCAUUUCGCUACACUCGCAUUAACAUCUGCUAACCGUGUGUAUGUGACCAAUAAAAUUUGAUUUGUGUGAAGCUCAAUAACCUUGAAUCUCUGUGAGCUGUAAAGGAGGGGCUCAUUAUCUCACUGAGUC